UACAGGGGGGGCAACGUUUGUUCGGAAUUACUGGGCGUAAAGGGCCAGUAGGCGGCCAACUAAGUCCGACGUGAAAUCCCCAGGCUUAACCUGGGAACUGCGUCGGAUACUGGAUGGCUUGAAUUCGGGAGAGGGAUGCAGAAUUCCAGGUGUAGCGGUGAAAUGCGUAGAUAUCUGGAGAAUACCGGUGGCGAAGGCGGCAUCCUGGACCGACAUUGACGCUGAACGGCGAAAGCUAAGGGGAGCAAACGGG
rnacentral:rRNA from 1 species